CGUUCCCUUGCUGGAGAGAGGUGGCCCCACAGAAAAGACACUGUGUGCAGGCCAUCCACCGAAGGAGCAAACCGCACGGCCAGCCAGGGCGCUGCGGUGAAUCUCUCAGGUAAAGCGGACAGCAGGGCAAAU
rfam:Acidovorax sp. 65-7 SCNpilot_expt_1000_bf_scaffold_8584, whole genome shotgun sequence.